GAUGAACGCUGGCGGCGUGCUUAACACAUGCAAGUCGAACGGGAAACCUUUUAUUGAAGCUUCGGCAGAUUUAGCUGGUUUCUAGUGGCGGACGGGUGAGUAACGCGUGGGUAACCUGCUUUAUACAGGGGGAUAACAACCAGAAAUGGUUGCUAAUACCGCAUAAGCGCACAGGACCGCAUGGUCCGGUGUGAAAAACUCCGGUGGUAUAAGAUGGACCCGCGUUGGAUUAGCUAGUUGGCAGGGUAACGGCCUACCAAGGCGACGAUCCAUAGCCGGCCUGAGAGGGUGAACGGCCACAUUGGGACUGAGACACGGCCCAGACUCCUACGGGAGGCAGCAGUGGGGAAUAUUGCACAAUGGGGGAAACCCUGAUGCAGCGACGCCGCGUGAAGGAAGAAGUAUCUCGGUAUGUAAACUUCUAUCAGCAGGGAAGAUAGUGACGGUACCUGACUAAGAAGCCCCGGCUAACUACGUG
rnacentral:rRNA from 1 species